rnacentral:lncRNA from 1 species
CCAUCAGCUGGGGUUUCCCGAGGUCAGAGAAUAGCUAUCGAUUAUCCUAUUAGGAUAGUUGCAGAGAAAUAAAAAGGACGUAAAAUAGCAGGGAACCUAUAAACAAAGACGUCAUAACUGGCUGUUGGAGUUGUUAAACGACUUAGCACAGAAAAAGUCGGAAAUGAGCUGGAAACGGAGCAGGCAUUGGCAGCGGUCUUGGUGUGAACAAACUAUCCAAGACUUAACUUCUGUAGAAAUCUGCGCCAAAGAAGAGGCGAGGAUGUGUCCAGCGCACGUGAAGUACAAGGAAUGUCAGCUAUGUUGAUCUUGGGGUUACACCUGGCCCUAAAACGCAUGCCUGAGUUGAUUUCCGCAGCUGCACCACUAGUGACGCGCUGACUCAAAAACGUCUAUUCCGCUGACUAGACAGUCUUCUCGGGAAACCGACAGGAGCUACCAGCUGGAGCUGGCUGCACCCUAGGCAAGAGGUCACAGUGGCGACUGCUCAAGCAACUCAAAGGAAGGUGGGGAGGAAAAGAAAACACGAUCCAAAUUUACAAAUUUAGGAAAACCUUUUGCCCAACUUGGAUUGCCAGGCGGUAUUGGCGGGCGCAAGGCUCAGAGUGGACCGGACCGCGAUCUUGAUGGCCGAGCCUCUGGCGAAUGCUUGUACGCGCACGAGAACCCUGGCUUCAAGGCUCUCGCGGCCGCUUUUUAGUCUCCAAAUGAGCCUAAUUUCGAUUUCCCGGCUAGCUUGAGCUGGCUCAGGAGACUUUGUCCGCCUCGUUGACGGCUGCCUCUCCCCCUUCGCCAAGGCCGGAUCUGGGCGGUCCGUUCCCGUGUAUCUCCUUAGAACCUCUCUGGGGAAGGGGGUGGUGAACAACUCCCAGCUGCCGGUUCCAUUUGUUGCGCCUUUUUCCUUCGAC